CUCUCUCUCUCUCUCUCUCUCUCUCUCUCUCCACAAGUUCCAAGAUGAAAACAUCCAAUUUAAAAUGGCGCGCAACAAUUGACACCAUAACCGCUUCCCAAACCCAACCCCAACCCUAGGAGAAAAGCAGAAAUUUUGAGGAAGAAGAAGACAGAGAGAGCCAUGUCCAACUUCAUUCCUCAAGACGUCGCUGUGGAUAUACUCUCCAGACUCCCUACCAAAUCCCUAAUCCAAUUCAGGUCUGUUUCCUAACUCUGGAACUCUCUCAUUACCAGCCCUAAUUUCAUCAUUUCCCACCUCAAUCAGUCACUCACAAACCCUAAAAACAGCUACGACAAUCUCCCUCUCGUAAUAGUCAGGCAAUGCGUUCCUACUCCCUAUAUCAGAUUAAAGCACUACAAACUAUUUGUUGAUACCGGUGAAGAAGAUAACCCAUUUGAUGAAUAUCUGGAAAUUCCAUUCCCACUCAUGAGCCGUCGUCUUCACUAUCACUAUAUAAUGGGUUAUGUGAAAGGUUUGUUCUGUCUUUGGGAACAUGAUAACAUUUUCCUUUGGAACCCGUCCAUUAGGAAGUCCAUUAUCCUUCCCAAGCCUGGCAUUACAAAAAAGACACACGACAGCUUGGCGGAUGACCUUGGGUUUGGGUACGAUUUGCGGAGUAAUGAUUAUAAAGUGGUGAGGAUAGUCACCCGUUGUGGAAGUGACCGGUCCCAAGAUGAUGAGUCUCCUCUUGUUGAGGUUUACUCCCUUAAAGCGGGAUCGUGGAAAAUGAAUCGCGGAGCAGGUGAGUCUUUUCCCCUUGGAUUUCGAAUAGCCUAUUCGCAAAACUUUACCUCUUGUUUGGAAGGGGUUCUUCAUUGGGCAGCAAAGGCUAAAGGGAAUUGGAAUAAUAGAUUGGUUUUGUCAUUUGAUUUGUGUGUCGAGGUGUUUAAAACGAUUAAAAUGCCAAAUGGUCUUGAAAGUGCAAGAUUUGACAUCACAACUUCAGUAUUUGGGGGAUUUCUUUCUCUGUUAUGUGAGGAUAAUGUUGAUCGUGCAAACAAGUCUUGUUCUAUUUGGAUAAUGAAAGAGUAUGGAGUAGUUGAUUCUUGGUAUAAGUAUGUCAAAAUUGAUCUAACCGGAGGAAUGUAAGGGGUCAUAGGUAUCUGAAAGAAUGGUCAUGUACUAUUGAAGGGAGACUCACCACUUCAUUGGGAGCUUUCUUCGUAUGACCCGCGGAAUAAAGAAAUCAAGAAGUUGGGAAUUCAUGGUACUUUAGGACAUUUUCAUGUUGAUACUUAUGAGGAGAACCUUAUCUUACUCAAUAAGACAGAUGCUCCAGUGUCUAGAAGGGGCAGGAAAAGGAAAGACAGCACUCAAUCACUAAUGGAGGCACAGGCACUUGUUAUCGAUGUUAAAAGGCUGAAGUAUGAAGUUGUUGUCCUGCAAGAAAGGGUAGAGGGAAAGAUAAAGGUAGCAUGUGAGGUGGUAGCAAAAAUGGGGCCUCAACAGUUAGCCGAGGUCCGCGCCAAACUCUAGAGUUAUUCUCCGCAAAUUCAACCCAAGGAUGUUCACGGCAAUAUAGAAAUCAAUUCGACGAGGCUUACUGCUGCUUCUCAAGAUUCAGUGGCGAAUGAUUGUGAUGUAGCUGAGAAAUUAGCCACAAUCAUGUCCUUAGCAGGGGUGAAAGCGUGAAGGGAAAACAUGUGAAUGGCGGCACAUCUGCAAGCCAAGGGUUUUGCAGUAAGGAUUGUUCCUUGAACAAGGAUUUGGAGUUUUUGAGAAAGGGGAAGGGUGAAUAUGCUGGAAUGCUGGUGAAGGUUUCUCGAAUGGUUUCUCGAUUGGAUCAAAUAGUGGAGACCAUUAUUACGUAAAGUACCCCCAAUUCCAGGUACUAUUUGAACCUCGUCAAAAAUUUCCAAUCCAAUUUUGUUAUUACCAGAGCAAUGAGUUCGCUUGUUUAUAGCAUUAUACCAGUCAUAAGCAUUGUGGUAUUAUUAGUGUCUUCUUGCUAAGAUCAAUAUGGAGAAAUGGUUAGGUAAGUGUCCCUUGUUCGCAAAACUAUAUUGUCUUUAAUUAUCUUACAUUUGUUAAAACUAUUGGGUAAAUUUCACUUACCUCCCCUGAGGUUUCUGACAAUGACAGACACCUCCC